rnacentral:rRNA from 1 species
UACGUAGGUGGCAAGCGUUGUCCGGAAUUAUUGGGCGUAAAGCGCGCGCAGGCGGUCUCUUAAGUCUGAUGUGAAAACCCACGGCUCAACCGUGGAGGGUCAUUGGAAACUGGGAGACCUGAGUGCAGAAGAGAAGAGCGGAAUUCCACGUGUAGCGGUGAAAUGCGUAGAGAUGUGGAGGAACACCAGUGGCGAAGGCGGCUCUUUGGUCUGUAACUGACGCUGAGGCGCGAAAGCGUGGGGAGCGAACAGG